rnacentral:lncRNA from 1 species
CCCAGAGGCACAGGUGAGGAAACCAUUUUUGCCCAGGGUGAAUGUGACAGGAAAACCUGUAGCCUCUAACCUGGGGCCACAUACAAGCUGGGAAAUCAGAAUGACAUUCUAGUCCUCCAUCCCAAGAGUGGACGUUUGCCCUGGGAAGGGCAGCCCCCACCCCCCCGCCCCAGGUCCUACUACAGCCUGCUGCCUGGCCGGGCCCUCAAAGCCUGGACCAGAUGUGCCACUGGCUGCUCCAGGCCUGGGGGUCCUGCGGUCUUCGCUGUUCCUGACCCCCCUUGGUCCCCUAAGAGUGAAGGGAUAGGGCAGCUGGGCCUGUUCCAAGCCAGGGUGGCCACACAGGAAGGGCCACAUCUGUUAUGGUUGUGACCUGAAAUGCCCCUCAAAGGCUCAUUGUGUUGAAGGCUUGGGUGCCACUGAUAGGUAUUUGGUGGUAAUUGGAUCAUGAGGGCUCUAACUUCCUCAAGUGGGUUAGUGGGCUAAUUAGGAGGUGGGAUCUAAUUGGAUGAAACUGGUCAUGGGGGCCACGGCUUUGAGAGUGGAUUUUGGCCCUGGCCCUCUCAUCUCUGUUCUUAAUCAUCUCUCUUUCUCUCUCCCUCCCCCUCUCCCUCCCCCUCUCCCUCUCCUCCCUCUCUUUCUCCACUUGUCCCCCCACCCUCAUUCCUGGCUACCAUGACAGGAGCAGCUUUCUGUCUCCUUGCCCUUCCACCAUGACGCUUCUGCCUUACCAUGGGCCAAAGAGUAAUGGAGCCAGCUACCUGUAGACUGAAAUCUCUGAGACUGAGACCAAACAAACCUUUCCUCAUUCAGUUGUGUAUCUCAGGUAUUUCUCACCGAAGGGCAGCCUGCCCGCUCCAUGACUGACAGGAUGGGGUGGCCCCGCCCCCGGGCUGACUGAUGGAUCCGACUCCGUCCCCCAUCCAGCCCAGACUCGGGUCCAGCACAGUGAAUGGGGCCCUGAAGUGCAGUGUGCAGCUCGGGGUCUCAGGCCUCCCGUUCAGAGCCUCUCCACCCACUGGCCGACUGACCUUGGUUUUGCCCCCUGCUAUGGUCAGAGUCCCCCAAACCUCUAAGUUGAAGCUGAAGGCCGAGGUGAUGGUGUCAGGAGGGGCAGCCCUCGGGAGGCCGUCAGGUCACAGGGCAGAGGUCUCACGGAAGAGAUUAGUGCCCUUACAAUGGGCUCGAGGGGAGGGGCAGUGCCCCUUGCUUCUCUUCUGGCAUGUGAGGACACAGUUUGUCCUCUCCGGAGGAGGCAGAGACUGGGCCCUCAGCAGACUGGAGUCAUCUUGGUCUUGUACUUCCUGCCUCCAGAGCUGUGAGGAAACGAAUUUCCCUUCUUUUUAAAGUAACCAGCUUAAGGUAUUUUUUUCCAGCGAUCUAAAGGGACUGAGACAUUGUCUGGACUGGGGUUUCCUGUCUAGAAGAUGGGUCUGUUGUGGAUUCCAUGAGGUCAUAUGGAUCUUCUGCAUUUGGUUCUAGCUAACAGAUGGAUUGCGGUUGCAAGAGUCUUGAACGCCACAGGGAUCAUUACCUAAGAGUUGGACUUCUGGCAACUGAGCUCAAGACUGAUGCACGCUGUGUCUUAGGGUGCUCUCCUGGGCUGAGCAGGGCCUGGAGCAGGCAGAUGUGCUCACAGCUGCCCGGGUGCCAGGAUACCACAGCCACUGUCCUGCUCAGUCCAGCCCUGGGCUUUGGUGUCCAGGCG